rnacentral:lncRNA from 1 species
CAAUGUACUUAUUAUGGUAAUUAUUUCUUGCAUGUUUCUUUCUUUUUUUUUUUGAGACAGGGUCUCACUCUGUUGCCCAGUCUGGAGUGCAGCAGCAUGAUCUCAGCUCACUGAAAUCUUGGCCUACCUGGCUCAGGCCAUCCUCCCUCCUCUGCCUCCUGAGUAGCUGGGACUACAGGCACUCACCACCAUGCCUGGCUAGUUGUUGUACUUUUUUGUAGAGAUGAGGUUUCACCAUGUUGCCUAAGCUAGUCUAAAACUCCUAGGCUCAAGUGAUCCUCCCGCCUCAGCCUCCCGAAGUACUGGGAUUGCGGGUGUGAGCCGCUGUGCCUGGCUGCACUUUUCCUUCUAAUGGAAUAUAAGAAAUUUGAAGCCCCCGCAAAGGGAGGUGACUUGUCCACAAUCUCACAGGCUCAGUGGCUUCAGCCAGACUUGGAACGCAACCAGAAGUUCUAAGGCAUCAUGUCACUUUUGUGGGGGAAAUGUAUGAAGAUGAAAAGUUUCAAGGACACCUAUGGUGGAAUUUUAG